GUUGUCCUAGUGUGAGGGUCAUCCUCGUGCAAGGCUCUCGGGGAUCUCGCCCGUGAGAUUUGCACGAGGAGGGUCCUCUCGCACGAGGGUCUCGCAUGAGGGUCUCGUCUUGCACAAGGGUCUCGCACAAGGAUGGGCCCCGUGCAAGGAGCUGGCACAAGGACAAGGCUUGCAUGGAGAGCUUGCACGAGGAUCUCGCACGAGGAUCUCGCAGAGGGAUGAGGCUCGUGCAAGGAGGUGGCACGAGGAUGAGCUUUGCACAAGGGAAGCCUUGCAUGGGGAGCUUGUGUGAAGAUCUUGCACGAGGAUGAGGCUCGUGCAAGGGCCUGGCACAAGGAUGAGCCUUGAAUGAGGACAAGCCUUGAAUGAAGACCUUGCACGAGGAUCUCGCACGAGGAUCUCACAUGAGGAUGAGCCUCGUGCAAGGAGGUGGCACGAGGAUGAGCCUUGUGCAAGGCAAGCCUUGAAUGAAGACCUUACACGAGGAUCUCGCACAAGGAUGAGUCUCACACAAGGACCUUGCACGAGGACAAGCCUUGCACGAGGAUGAGCCUUGCACGAAGACCUCACAGAAGGACCUUGCACAAGGAUCUCGCACAAGGAUGACCCUCACACAAGGACCUUGCACGAGGACAAGUCUCAUGCCUGGACCCCUUGCACAAGGAAUUUGCACAAGGAUGAGCCUCGCACGAGGACCUUGCACGAGGAAGAGCUUUGCACGAGUACCUUGCACAAGAACCUUGCACAAGGACCUCAUACAAGGAUCUCGCUCGUACAAUCGUGGAGCCUUGCACAAGAAUGAGCCUUGCACGAGGACCUUGCACGAGGACCUUGCACAAGGGCCUUGCACGAGGACCUCACCCCAGAGCCUUGCACGAGGACCUCGCACGGCGGGAUUUGGGGGGUGAGGGGGCACAACACGGUACAGGAGCGGUUCAUGUUUUGGGGUGCCGUUUUGGGGUGUGUGUUUUGGGAUGCCAGUUUCAUGAUGCAGGUUUUGGGGUGCCAGUUUUGGGGUUUGUGUUUUGGGGGAGAGGUUUUGGGGUGCCGGUUUCGGGGUGCUGGUUUUGGGGUGCCAGUUUUAGGGUGAGUGUUUUGGGGUGGGUGUUUUGGGGUGCCAGUUUUGGGGAGCAUGAUUUGGGGUGCCAGUUUCGGGAUGCCAGUUUUGGGGUUCAGGUUUUGGGGUGCCAGUUUUGGGGUUUGUGUUUUGGGGUGCAUGUUUUGGGGUGCUGGUUUUGGGGUGCCAGUUUUAGGGUGAGUGUUUUGGGGUGGGUGUUUUGGGGUGCCAGUUUUGGGGAGCAUGAUUUGGGGUGCCAGUUUCGGGAUGCCAGUUUUGGGGUUCAGGUUUUGGGGUGCCAGUUUUGGGGGUUGUGUUUUGGGGUUUGUGUUUUGGGGUGCCGGUUUCGGGGUGCCGUUUUCGGGGUGCCGGUUUCGGGGUGCCAGUUUCGGGGUGGAUGUUUUGGGGUGCCGUUUUGGGGUGCCGGUUUCGGGGUGCCAUUUCAGGGUGCCGGUUUUAGGGUUUGUGUUUUGGGGUGCAGGUUUUGUGGUGCCAUUUGGGGGUGCCGGUUUCGGGGUGCCGGUUUCGGGAUGCCGUUUUUGGGGUGCCGUUUUUGGGGUGCCGUUUUGGGGUGCAGGGCUCACCCUGCGCAUGAUGCCGAUGGCGGGGCAGCUGAGGAAGCGGGGGUAGCGAACCUCCUCGUUGACGAUGCUGUCGAACACCUCCUCCUCCUCGUCCCCCGGGAACGGCGACUGCGGGCGGCCACGCCAUGGGACCCCCCCCGGACCCC
rnacentral:lncRNA from 1 species